rnacentral:rRNA from 1 species
AGUGAACGCUGGCGGUAGGCCUAACACAUGCAAGUCGAACGGCAGCACAGUAAGAGCUUGCUCUUACGGGUGGCGAGUGGCGGACGGGUGAGGAAUACAUCGGAAUCUACUUUUUCGUGGGGGAUAACGUCGGGAAACUUACGCUAAUACCGCAUACGACCUACGGGUGAAAGCAGGGGAUCUUCUGACCUUGCGCGAUUGAAUGAGCCGAUGUCGGAUUAGCUAGUUGGCGGGGUAAAGGCCCACCAAGGCGACGAUCCGUAGCUGGUCUGAGAGGAUGAUCAGCCACACUGGAACUGAGACACGGUCCAGACUCCGAGGGGAGGCAGCAGUGGGGAAUAUUGGACGAUGCGGGAGUGCCUGAUACAGCCAUACCGCGUGGGUGAAGAAGGCCUUCGGGUUGUAAAGCCCUUUUGUUGGGAAAGAAAAGCAGCAGGUUAAUACCCCGCUGUUCUGACGGUACCCAAAGAAUAAGCACCGGCUAACUUCGUG